rnacentral:rRNA from 1 species
GAUGAACGCUGGCGGCGUGCCUAAUACAUGCAAGUCGAGCGAACAGACGAGGAGCUUGCUCCUCUGACGUUAGCGGCGGACGGGUGAGUAACACGUGGAUAACCUACCUAUAAGACUGGGAUAACUUCGGGAAACCGGAGCUAAUACCGGAUAACAUGUUGAACCGCAUGGUUCAACAGUGAAAGACGGUCUUGCUUUCACUUAUAGAUGGAUCCACGCCACAUUAGCUAGUUGGUAAGGUAACGGCUUACCAAGGCAACGAUGCGUAGCCGACCUGGGAGGGUGAUCGGCCACACUGGAACUGAGACACGGUCCAGACUCCUACGGGAGGCAGCAGUAGGGAAUCUUCCGCAAUGGGCGAAAGCCUGACGAAGCAACGCCACGUGAGUGAUGAAGGUCUUCGGAUCGUAAAACUCUGUUAUUAGGGAAGAACAAAUGUGUAAGUAACUAUGCACGUCUUGACGGUACCUUAUCAGAAAGCCACGGCUAACUACGUG